rnacentral:rRNA from 1 species
UACAGAGGGUGCAAGCGUUGUUCGGAAUUAUUGGGCGUAAAGGGAGUGUAGGCUGUUCGGUAAGUCUUCUGUGAAAUCUACGGGCUUAGCCUGUAACGUGCAGAGGAAACUACCGGGCUUGAGUGUCGGAGAGGACAGGGGAAUACCCAGUGUAGAGGUGAAAUUCGUAGAGAUCGGGAGGAACACCAGUGGCGAAGGCGACUACCUGGCCUGUUCUUGACGCUGAGGCGCGAAAGCUAGGGGAGCAAACGGG